ACCUCCCUACACACCUGGGGCACACUCUCUAUUCACUACAUGUCUCCCAAGGGACCCCAUUCUCUUCUCUCUCUUUUUGUCAUGUGGGCAUCAGCUCCCACCCUAUCACCUUUAUACAUCAUCCCUUCUUGAACCCCUCCCAUAAGACCAAGUACACACUGGACGUCUUCACAUGAGUGUCCUGGAAGCGUCUCAAAUUAAACAUGUUCAGAACAUACUCUUGUUCUCCAAAACCUGCCUACCUUCCAGACUUGCUUAUUUUUGUCAAGGGCCUUGCCUUUCACCUGGGCUUAUAAUCUGGGAGUCCUCCUCAAUGUUUCCCUCUCCUUUGUCCCCUCUUCCCAUUUGCAGUAAGCUGUCAAAUCCUAUGUUUCUGCCUUCAUAUCCCCUUCCCCUUCUUUCUACUCAAGUCACCAUCCUGGUUCAGGCCCUUGUCACCUUUCAUCUAGCUUCUUUGCAAAGCCUCCUAACUGGUCUCCCUCCCUCCCCUCCCUUUGUUCCUUCCUUCUUCCCUUCCUCCCUCCCUUCAUCACUUCCUUCUUUCCUUUAUUCUUUCAUUCUUUCCAUCCCUCUUCUCUCUGUCCCUCCCUCCCUUCCUUCCUCUCUCCUUCUCUCCUUCUCUCCCUCCCUUCCUUCCUCCCUUCCUCCCUCCCUCCUUCCUUCCUUCACCCUUCCCUCUCUCCCUCCUUUCCUUCCUUCCUUCCUUCCUUCCUUCCUUCCUUCCUUCCUUCCUUCCUUCCUUCCUUCCUUCCUUCCUUCCUUCCUUCCUCCCUCCCUUCCUUCCUUCCUCCCUCCCUCCCUCCCUUCCUUCCUCCCUCCCUCUCUCCUCCCUCCCUCCUUCCUUCCUUCCUUCCUUCCUUCCUUCCUUCCUUCCUUCCUUCCUUCCUUCCUUCCUUCCUUCCUUCCUUCCUUCCUUCCUUCCUUCCUUCCUUCCUUCCUCCCUCCGUCCCUCCCUCCCUCCCUCCCUUCCUUCCUUCCUUCCUUCCUUCCUUCCUUCCUUCCUUCUUCCUUUCUUCCCUCC
rnacentral:lncRNA from 1 species